rnacentral:rRNA from 1 species
AUGGGUGGAUUGCCACGUAUAAAGAACGUGGGCUGGAGGCGUCCCACCCCGAGCGGCAGUCGAUCCGGUGCCGUGCCGGUCGCGGGCUACUGGCCGGUGUCGCGAGCGCAUCCGCGCUUUCGGGGUUUUCCGCUGCGCCUUUCUGCACGGGGACGCGACCGGAGGAGCUCGCAGCCAGGCUGGCGGCCGGGGGCCCCAGCAGCGUCGGCGGACCAGGAGGAGGAGGACGUGGGGAGGGGGAGCACGAGCUCAUCUCUCUCUCCCUCACCUCCGGAUCCCAGCCACCGGGUGGACGCACGAUCUGUUGUCGCGCCGGUCGGAUCCGGUGCUGCGUCGGCGAUGACUUCGAGUACCCCCUCCCUGAACCCUCCGUCCGUUUGCCCCACCUCCGCUUCCCUCACCUCCCGCCGCCCCGCUUCCCCACCGCCAGCGCCGCCCCUCCACCUCCCGUCGGAGGACCCAUCUGCGCCCUCCACCUCCGGCACCUCGGCCGUCUCCGUCAAGCCGCUGGACGCGCGGGCCCACCGCGGGAGGCUGAAGAAGCUGAGCAAGCUCGCGCUGCGCCGGGCGCGGGACGGGCGGGAGCACGUCUCGGGAAUAGCGGACCGCCUCCUGGCGCGCCCGUGGCGGAGGUGCUCGACGACGCGUGGGUGUCCCCCGACGAGCUCGCCUACGUCGUGCGUGUCGUGGACGCGGCCUCCUGGUUGCGCGCUCUCGACGCCUUCGAGUGACUUGUUGCGAGCGGCAACGGGCCCCGGGCCCCCAUGUCGUCGCCUCGUUCUCGGGGUCCUCGGCCGCGCUCGCCAGGACGGGCUCGCAGAGGAGGUCUUCCUCCAGUUCGCUAGGGAGGGCACCACCGUGCAGGUGUUUAACGCCAUGAUGGACAUGUACGGCCGCUCCGGCCGCUUCGACGAUGUUCAGCAGCUGCUUGAUGCAAUGCACGGCCAGGGGAUCGAGCCCGACCUGGCCAGCUUCAACGCUCUGAUCAAUAACAGCGCAAAAGUUUGGGUGUUUACCCCCCGGCGUGAAGUCCGGCAAGCUUGGCUCAGGCCGGACGUUAUCACUUACAACACCCUGAUCAAUGCUUGCUCGCAAGGUUCCAUUCUGGACGAUGCAGUGGCGGCUGAGAAGAUGUUCAUGGAGCUGCUACACGAGGGUUUUAAGCCGGAUACAGUUACCUAUAAUUCUCAUGCUUUUGCGAAGGAAGGAGAUGUCGACGCAGUGGAGCGGGUGUGUGAGGAAUAUGUCAAUGCUGGGUUGAGGAAUGAUGGAAUUACUUACAAUACCAUGAUCCAUAUGUAUGGGAAGAUGGGCAAGCUUGACUUGGCACUUGGGAAGGUGCUGGAGGAGAUGGUGGGUGCAGGAUUAAAGCCAACCCUGGUAACCUUCAGUGCUUUGAUAUGUGCAUAUGCCAAAGGUGGGAAGCGGGACGAGCGGCGGAGCAGACAUUUGAUUGAUGGUCAUAUGCCAGAUGACACCUUGUAUCAGGUUAUGCUUGCUGCACUUGCAAAAGGAAAUGAACAUGAGGAGAUUGAAAGAGUUGUGCAAGACAUGGUAGUUGUUUGUCAAAUGGAUUGGCAACUGGUAUAUAGUGUACUCAUCAAGGCGGGUUGCAUUUUUCAUGGUGCUAUGUUGUUAAAGCAGCAUGCCUACAAGGACACGAGCCUGACAGGAACACAUGUGAACAACCUAGAAAAGAAAUCUGGAGGCAAGAAUAGUUUUUAUCAGAUGUAUAUUAGAAUGCUAGCUGAGAACAUGUCUGAUCUUCACAAGCAAGACAAGUAUCCAACCCGUGAUCCUUUUUUAAUCAUCGGCAGGCUACCUGGAUCGAGUCAACGCCGCUGCUCGAGCGACUGGCGGCGGCGCGGCUGCUCGAUGAAUGGUGGCGGCGGUGGCCGGAGCUUGCAGGGGCCGGAUCCGUGCGUCGAAGGUGCUGGGGAGGCGGAUCCAGAGGUGUGCGGCGAGGUGGGAGCUCACCGGAGCUGGGCGACGGAGGGAUCCGGCGCGAUGUGCCCAGGGUGGAGCUUGGCGAGUGCGGAUGGGGGCAACGCGUACGUCGAGCACCCGCACAGGCUUGCCGGAGAGUGUACAACAUGGCAGGAAGAUUGUGUGGGAGGACAAUCGGCAGGGAGGAAGGAGAAUGAGCAGCGAGUGGUGCUGGCGGAUCUCCGCCCUGACCUGGGUUGA